CAGAAGUAAAAUUAGAAAAGGACAACCUUCAAUUCAGCAUCCGGACUCUCCUGGCAGCAAUGUCCCAGCACUGUCAUUAUGAGCUUUUGGGAAGCUGAGUCCUCCUGUCAGCCCACUGAACGUUGGAGAGCUAUGACUCUCCCAAUCUGCACUCAUGAGAUGGGCUUGUAGGUACUGGAGCUGGGUCCUAUGUGGAGCUGUAAGCAUUCAUCUCGUUGGUCUGAGCCCUUUGUCUCAGCUGAUUAUCAUUUUUAAGAAACUAUAUUGAAAUAUAAUUAACAAUUUAUCUAUCUGAAAUGUACAAGUCAAUGGCUUUACUAUAAUCACAAUUUUAGAACAUUUUUAUUACCCUCCCAAAGAAACCCCACAAUCCUUAGCUGUUACUCUCAGCAUCUGCCUUUCCUAGCUUUGGAAACUACUAAUCUACUUUCCAUUUCUAUAUAUUUGUCUAUUCUGGUCAUUUCAUAUCAUUGGAAUCAUGAAAUAAUAUGUGGUCCUAAGUGACUGGCUUCUUUCAUCUUUUAGCUUAAUAUUCAUCCAUACAUGGAUGUGUCAACAAUCAGUGUGUGCUGUUUAAAGUUGCUAAGAUUGCAGGAAUUUGUUAUGCAGCAAUAAUAGAGAACUAAUACAGUUUGAAAGUUCUUCACAUAAAUAGUCAUGACUAAUAUGAAUUUUAC
rnacentral:lncRNA from 1 species